UACGAGUGCCUCAAGCGUUAUCCGGAAUCAUUGGGCGUAAAGGUUGUGUAGGUGGUUGUAUUAGUCUUCUGUUAAAUUCUUCGGCUUAACCGGGGGCAUGCAGAGGAAACGGUACGACUAGAGGAUGCGAGGGUCUGUGGAAUUCAUAGUGUAGCGGUAAAAUGCGUUGAUAUUAUGGAGAACACCAAAAGCGAAGGCAGCAGACUGGAGCACUCCUGACACUGAAACAAGAAAGCGUGGGUCGCGAAUGGG
rnacentral:rRNA from 1 species